CUCGGAUUUCCCGCGUCCAUGCGCGCAUUCGACGAUCAAUAUACCGGGUUGACAGAUAAAAGCGCGCGCGCGCAGAGUAGCCUGGUUCGAUAGUGGCAACACAUUCGUUCGUCCCGAAUUUUUGCGCCCGCCUCGACGCACGAUCGCUUUCAUCUCGCACCCUAAGAAGAUCCAUUGAAGUCACCAUGUCCAGCAGCAAGUGCAUCAAGCAACCCCGGAAGACGUACAUCAAGGAGCAGCACGAGAUGACGCACUCCGAGAAGCUGAGACUGAUUGACGACGAGCUCAAUUCUUUCUACAAGUAUUGUCAGCAGGCGGGCUUCACCGAGGAGGAAAUGGACAUCAUUUGCCAGCCACUCGUGGCAGCGAUGCGUCGCUCCUGGUUGCAGCUCGUCUUCCGUGGUACCCUGGUGCUGAUAGUGCUGGGCACCCUGGCGUGUCUUGCAGCGCAGCUCGACUUCGUUGGCACGCACUUCACCGCCCUCAGUCGUCUGCUGCUGAUCAAGGUGUUGCCGAUCUGGAACUGGCAGCCGCUCUAUUACGAGAAUUGCAUGAUCAACAACCCCUUUUACAACGAUUACACCAUCACCGAGGAGGAUUGCGUGACUUGCGAGGCGCUGGAGACGAUCGAUCGUCUGUCGGACGUGCGGUAUCGUAAUCUGGUCGACAAUUACCUGAGUCGCGAUGCACCGGCCAUCAUCACUGAUGCGAUGGACUCCUGGGCGGUGAUGAACACCGAUUACUUUUGGUUCGACAACAUCACCCAUCUCUACCUGGAGAACGAACGGCUGAUGGAGACGGUACCCUGCGCCCUGACCUCCAAUCUGCGCACCGGCUCGUCCGACCUCGCGGCCUUCCUGCGACGCGUACACGCGCCCGAGGUGGCCAAGUGGUUCGUCCACUGGCAGAACUGUGACAUCAACGCUGUGAAGGUGCUCAGAAAGUACUACCAGCGGCCGUACUUCCUUUCCAGCACCGUCUCGCCGGCGCAUUUCAACUGGGUAUUGAUGUCAUCGGACUACAACAGCCCGAGCUACAAGAAGGUCGAGCUCGAUUCCGGUCUGAUCGCCCUCGCGCAGCUUCGCGGCGCGACUCAGCUUCGCCUCACUCCUAUUAAUCCUUGCAACAGCUCGUGUCCGGAGCUAAUCGCCGACUUGCAUCAGGGCGAGAUGCGUAAGUGACUCGAGGACUGAAGUACGGAACACCUUUAUGAUAAGCUGGCAACAUUCUGAAAGAGACACACGCUCAGUUGUCUUCACGAACUUGAUGUGGACGCUCGAAUAUGCGCCGAUGCGCGGCCUGGACAACAUCGCCAUAUUGACGGAGACCGUCUGGGAGGAGGACACGUAGAUACAUCGCCGAGGAUGGCCGCGUCGUCGUACGAAGAAAGAAAUAUCCUUACAAUUAGUCCCUUAAUGUUCUCCGACAGUUAUCGAUUAUGUACUCGUUCCUCAUGACGCGCUAAAUAAAGAUUGAGCAUCCCGGUUUCUCCAG